GGGCGCACCCCGCCGGGACAGCGCUCCGCCUCCCCACGCACGGCGGCUCCCAGCCCGCCCCACUCACCCGGCAGCCCCCCGACGUUGGCCCAGGCCACCCGGCUGAGGAAGAUGCUGUCCAGUGGUCCAAACAAGCGCUUUGAGUGGGGACCUGUCCAAACCUCCUGAUCUCGCCAUGGCUGUUUACACCAGUGCUCUCAGUCUUCCUUCAGAUCUAUAACUCACCGAUUCUCCUUCUUCUGACUCCCAUCUCUUCACACAAAUUAACCUGGUGGUUUUCCCUGGUUUUCCCACUUCUGGAUGAAAUAAAAAGGUUGUUGCUUUGAAUGGCAAA